rnacentral:rRNA from 1 species
CCCAGACUCCUACGGGAGGCAGCAGUGGGGGAUAUUGCACAAUGGGGGGAACCCUGAUGCAGCGACGCCGCGUGGGUGAAGAAGCGCCUCGGCGCGUAAAGCCCUGUCAGCAGGGAAGAAAAUGACGGUACCUGAAGAAGAAGCCCCGGCUAACUACGUGCCAGCAGCCGCGGUAAUACGUAGGGGGCAAGCGUUAUCCGGAUUUACUGGGUGUAAAGGGGGCGCAGACGGCGAUGCAAGCCAGGAGUGAAAGCCCGUGGCCCAACCCCGGGACUGCUCUUGGAACUGCGUGGCUGGAGUGCAGGAGGGGCAGGCGGAAUUCCUGGUGUAGCGGUGAAAUGCGUAGAUAUCAGGAGGAACACCGGUGGCGAAGGCGGCCUGCUGGACUGCAACUGACGUUGAGGCCCGAAAGCGUGGGGAGCAAACAGGAUUAGAUACCCUAGUAG